rnacentral:misc_RNA from 1 species
CAGCAGAAGUGUAUUUAUUUAAAGGGUUAAUCCGAAAUGGAACUGCCUCCUAUUUUCAAACUUAAUGAUUAUUGCGUAUUUGAAAUUUUUAAACAAAUCAAAUUAAAUUGUGAAGAAAACUCCAAUCAUACCAAUCCAGUGAUCCGAUACAAAGACAUAAUAUCGUUUGUGUCGUCCGAUUCCAAAUUCAAUGACAUUUUUUUACAGUGGAACGGAAUUCAAAACAAAUCUUAUAUCACUCAGUGGACAAGUACAACUAUAUACAUUUUUUUCCAUAGCCUAUAUGAAACACUAAAGAACCUUAAAGCAGCUGAAAAAAAUGAAUAUUUAAGCAUCUUUAAAAUGGCUAUCGAAGAAAAUAAUGUUGUUGGGACUUGUUUAAUGGAUUACAGUCCAACAUCAUACCAUCCUGAGCACGUAGAGAUAUUUGAAAUGACAACGCGACUGCUUCAACAAAAAAGAACCUUAAAUAAGUUGAUUCUUCGAAUGAAAGGUUAUACCCCUGAAAAUCUUCAGAAUUUCCGAUAUCUACGAAAUUUGCAACUCGAUGUAGACAUCGAGGUUAGUUAUUUAAUCGAAAUAAUUAAAUCAAAUCCAAAUCUGAACUAUCUUGAUUUCGAGUGCCCUGGAAGAAAUGGAAAAAUAUCGGAUAUAGCAGUUUAUUGUCAGAAACUGGAAGGUUUAAAUAUAGAAAUGAACCCAAACGUGGAUGCCGGUGACUACAUACCGUUUGCAAAAUUGCCACGCCUACAAAUGUGGAAUAUCCGAGGAACUCCGAUGAAAGAUUCUUUCCAUAAAUUGUUCCAGUCCUUGGCAGAAUCAACCACUUUAAAGGAACUCAACUUCAGUCAAAUGGAUCUCAAUCCCAAGGAAAUAAUAGAAUUAUCAAAUCUAAGGGCUUUAAGGUCGUUAUACUUUCAAUUGCAGAGUUCGAUUACUAACAUUGCACAGAAUUCAAACAAUGAACCAGACUCACUCACUCUCACUUCAUCGACAUUGAACCUACUCACUACUGGACUUCAUUUGGACUGUGUUGGAACUAUAAAAGAGGAUAUUUUAGCUAAAGAAAACAAAAUCAAUAUAUUUAAAAAUAUAUACACAUUGGAACAAUACAUACAAACCAAUAACAAAGACAUAAAAGAUUUUAUAGUUAGCGCACAAACUAAUAUAAAUAGUUUAUAUACUAUGAAAGAAAUGUGCAAUAAAUUGAAUAUUCCUACGGACAUUAAUAAAAUUUCAUCAUUUUUUGUGUUGAAGUCGUUCGUGUCCCUACUAAAAAAAUACGCUGAGAGCUUAAAUCUUUUGCCCAAAUUAAAAAAUCUCGAGCCUCUUCUAAUACAAAUGAAAAUAAAUAUACGAAAUGAGUUAAGUGAACUUCAAAAAACAAUUGAUGUUGAUUUGGUGGAUAUUGAACAACCAAUUCCACUGGAUCCUACUUCGCAAGGUCUUAUAUUGUUGUACUUAAUAGAAGGUUUAAGCAAAAUCUUUAACGUAUCUUUAUCUACGAAUGUGGAGUUUGAUAGAAUCAUAAAUAAUAGUGAAAUAAUUUUAUAUUUAACAACUAGUUUCAACAGAACGAUCUAAUAAUUCCAUUUCAUACCUUAUAUGAAUCACUAAAGCACCUUAAGUCUGCGGAUAAAAAAGAAUAUUUAAACAUCCUUAAAAUGGCUAUUAAAGAAAAUAAUAUUGUUCAGAUUUGUUUUUUGGAAUAUAAUCCAAAAUCGCACUAUCCAGAGCAUGGUUACACACUUGUAAAUCUAGAGAAUUUCCGGCAUCUACGACAUUUGAUACUCGAUGUAGACAUCGAGGUUAGUUAUUUGAUCGAAAUAAUAAAAUCAAAUCCAAAUCUGAUGGAACUUGAGUUCAUAAGCCCUGGAAGAAAUGGAAAAGUAGCGGAUGUAGCAAAAUAUUGUCAGAACCUGGAUGGUUUGAGUUUAGAAAUGAAUCCAAGUGUGGAUGCCGGUGACUACAUACCUUUUGCGAAAUUGCCACAUUUGCGAAACUUGGAUAUCAGAGGAAAUCCAAUGAAAGGCUCAUAAGUAGUGUAUCCACAGAUACACUUAAUGUAUCUGCAAAUACCCUAGAUAACGAAUCCCCCAUAAAACCAGUAUACC